rnacentral:rRNA from 1 species
UUGAACGCUGGCGGCAGGCCUAACACAUGCAAGUCGAGCGGUAGAGAGGUGCUUGCACCUCUUGAGAGCGGCGGACGGGUGAGUAAUGCCUAGGAAUCUGCCUGGUAGUGGGGGAUAACGCUCGGAAACGGACGCUAAUACCGCAUACGUCCUACGGGAGAAAGCAGGGGACCUUCGGGCCUUGCGCUAUCAGAUGAGCCUAGGUCGGAUUAGCUAGUUGGUGGGGUAAUGGCUCACCAAGGCGACGAUCCGUAACUGGUCUGAGAGGAUGAUCAGUCACACUGGAACUGAGACACGGUCCAGACUCCUACGGGAGGCAGCAGUGGGGAAUAUUGGACAAUGGGCGAAAGCCUGAUCCAGCCAUGCCGCGUGUGUGAAGAAGGUCUUCGGAUUGUAAAGCACUUUAAGUUGGGAGGAAGGGCAUUAACCUAAUACGUUAGUGUUUUGACGUUACCGACAGAAUAAGCACCGGCUAACUCUGUGCCAGCAGCCGCGGUAAUACAGAGGGUGCAAGCGUUAAUCGGAAUUACUGGGCGUAAAGCGCGCGUAGGUGGUUCGUUAAGUUGGAUGUGAAAUCCCCGGGCUCAACCUGGGAACUGCAUUCAAAACUGUCGAGCUAGAGUAUGGUAGAGGGUGGUGGAAUUUCCUGUGUAGCGGUGAAAUGCGUAGAUAUAGGAAGGAACACCAGUGGCGAAGGCGACCACCUGGACUGAUACUGACACUGAGGUGCGAAAGCGUGGGCAAACAGGAUUAGAUACCCUGGUAGUCCACGCCGUAAACGAUGUCAACUAGCCGUUGGGAGCCUUGAGCUCUUAGUGGCGCAGCUAACGCAUUAAGUUGACCGCCUGGGGAGUACGGCCGCAAGGUUAAAACUCAAAUGAAUUGACGGGGGCCCGCACAAGCGGUGGAGCAUGUGGUUUAAUUCGAAGCAACGCGAAGAACCUUACCAGGCCUUGACAUCCAAUGAACUUUCCAGAGAUGGAUUGGUGCCUUCGGGAACAUUGAGACAGGUGCUGCAUGGCUGUCGUCAGCUCGUGUCGUGAGAUGUUGGGUUAAGUCCCGUAACGAGCGCAACCCUUGUCCUUAGUUACCAGCACGUAAUGGUGGGCACUCUAAGGAGACUGCCGGUGACAAACCGGAGGAAGGUGGGGAUGACGUCAAGUCAUCAUGGCCCUUACGGCCUGGGCUACACACGUGCUACAAUGGUCGGUACAGAGGGUUGCCAAGCCGCGAGGUGGAGCUAAUCCCACAAAACCGAUCGUAGUCCGGAUCGCAGUCUGCAACUCGACUGCGUGAAGUCGGAAUCGCUAGUAAUCGCGAAUCAGAAUGUCGCGGUGAAUACGUUCCCGGGCCUUGUACACACCGCCCGUCCACCAUGGGAAGUGGGUUGCACCAGAAGUAGCUAGUCUAACCUUCGGGGGGGACGGUUACCACGGUGUGAUUCAUGACUGGGGUGA